GAGCAUUUCUGAGGCCCUACUCUGUUUGGAAUUGCUUUGACAGCACAACAGAAGAGACAGAGUUCUCUGAUCUAUCCUGUGCACCACAUGCUAUGGCACCUAGAAAGGGGUUGCUGAGUGUCAAGUGCUCUGGAAAUAUUUAGAGAUGGUCAUUUGCUAAGAAUACCAAGACUUAUCUGCAUUCUUCCCAUGCCUAAACUGGCACAGAUAACGGUACAGAUGACAAUUUGAAGGUCAGGAAACCUAUCAGAUCAAAAGACCAGGAGGAAAGUUUGAGGAUCAUUAAAUCAAAGGCCUUCUAUCUCGCCAUAAAAUUUCCCAUACCGUGGCAUUAUGUUGGAGGAGCAACAGAAUUAUCUCCAUGUGCCCAAGGGUGUGAAUCAAGGUGUGUAGAAAUGAAGAGCUGCUACAUGUGAAUGGACCAUGCAUAGGAAAUGGAGGUAUAUGACCUUGGUGACCUGUGUGGACCAGUGACUGAUACCCAAGCAGGAUUAUAGAUGUCUCAGCAGAUAUCAAUGUGGGCAGAAGACAUGGAAGUCUAGAUCCCUGUGGCUUUGCACUACAUAGGCCUUCAACAAACUAGAGGUAAAUCAGUGAAAAUAGGGGAAGCUCCACAAUUAUCUGUCAUUAUAUUUCUACUAUAUUACCAAUAUUUGAGAUUGAAAUAGACCUCGAGUAACUUUUUUGAACACCUGAAUUUGUGUA